rnacentral:rRNA from 1 species
GGCUUACCAUGCAAGUCGAGGGGCAGCAUGGUCUUAGCUUGCUAAGGCUGAUGGCGACCGGCGCACGGGUGAGUAACACGUAUCCAACCUGCCGUCUACUCUUGGCCAGCCUUCUGAAAGGAAGAUUAAUCCAGGAUGGCAUCAUGAGUUCACAUGUCCGCAUGAUUAAAGGUAUUUUCCGGUAGACGAUGGGGAUGCGUUCCAUUAGAUAGUAGGCGGGGUAACGGCCCACCUAGUCAACGAUGGAUAGGGGUUCUGAGAGGAAGGUCCCCCACAUUGGAACUGAGACACGGUCCAAACUCCUACGGGAGGCAGCAGUGAGGAAUAUUGGUCAAUGGGCGAUGGCCUGAACCAGCCAAGUAGCGUGAAGGAUGACUGCCCUAUGGGUUGUAAACUUCUUUUAUAAAGGAAUAAAGUCGGGUAUGCAUACCCGUUUGCAUGUACUUUAUGAAUAAGGAUCGGCUAACUCCGUGCCAGCAGCCGCGGUAAUACGGAGGAUCCGAGCGUUAUCCGGAUUUAUUGGGUUUAAAGGGAGCGUAGAUGGAUGUUUAAGUCAGUUGUGAAAGUUUGCGGCUCAACCGUAAAAUUGCAGUUGAUACUGGAUGUCUUGAGUGCAGUUGAGGCAGGCGGAAUUCGUGGUGUAGCGGUGAAAUGCUUAGAUAUCACGAAGAACUCCGAUUGCGAAGGCAGCCUGCUAAGCUGCAACUGACAUUGAGGCUCGAAAGUGUGGGUAUCAAACAGGAUUAGAUACCCUGGUAGUCCACACGGUAAACGAUGAAUACUCGCUGUUUGCGAUAUACGGCAAGCGGCCAAGCGAAAGCGUUAAGUAUUCCACCUGGGGAGUACGCCGGCAACGGUGGAACUCAAAGGAAUUGACGGGGGUCCGCACAAGCGGA